rnacentral:rRNA from 1 species
AUGUUGGCUGAUGGCAGUGGGUGGAAUUCGGACCUAGUUAACCAGUUGUUCUAUCCUUUCGACGCUGAGGAAAUCUGCAACAUCAAAUUACCAAGGGCAGGUGGCAGGGACGUCCUGGCUUGGCACUAUGAAAAAUCCGGAGUGUUCUCGGUCAGGAGUGCAUACCGGCUAGCGGUCUCGAUCCAAAACCUAGCUAGGGCCCCUGCCUCCAGCUCCGCAAACGAAGGGGAUGAUCGAAGUAUCUGGGACAUUAUUUGGAAGGCAAAGGUUCCUCAGAAAAUCAAAAUCUUUGGGUGGAGAGUAGCCACUUGCACCUUGGCUACAAAAAAGAACAAGUGGAAGCGCACACUGGAAGUGAACAGCACAUGCAACAUUUGCGGGAACGAUGAGGAAGAUGAAUUUCACGCUGUCAUUUCGUGCACAAAGAGCAAGGCACUGAGACAUGAAAUGAGAGUAGACUGGGAGCUACCUAGUGAGGAAAAAUUCAGAUACACUGGUGAUGAUUGGCUACAGAAUCUUCUAAGCCCAUGCAAGCCAGAGACUAGAACAAAAGUUUUACUGCUGCUGUGGCGAUGUUGGUUUCUUCGAGACGAUUGCACCCAUAAUGCAGGGAAGGAGCUGGUCAGCCGAUCCGUGAUGUUCUUAAAAUAG